GGCAACUAGAAACACGUUGGCCAAGUUGUUACUCUUUUGACCAAUAUAUGUUUCCCAAAUAUUGUGUGUGUGUGUUUUUUUUUUUUUUUUGGCUAAAAUGUUGUCUUGUUCUUGUGUUCAUAUGAAUCUUUUACUGAUACCUUUACUAUAUGCAUUGGCACACGUGUUUCCAAAAUGCAGACUUUAUCAUAAACAUUACUAGUAAUUAAUCUAGGCUCCAUUAAUAAUCUAUACUAUAUGUAAGUGAACCAAAAGAAACAAACUACUUUUAGGUGGAGAAAUUUGCAAACAUCGAGUUUGGUUAAAAGU
rnacentral:lncRNA from 1 species